CCGAAAGCUUACUUUCUUCAUUUUAAUUUUAAAUUUAUUUUUAUUAAUACCUGUUUGCAGACUACGCUUGUCACGGACGUUGGUCCAGGCACACAAUACAUCUUAAUUCUUUUCAAUCCCCCUUUCCUCUGUCUGCCUCUUCCCUUCCUCCCUUGAUCUUCCCAUUGCCAGACCCUCGUUUCUAAAAGUGGAUAUAUUUAUAAUAGUUCCGUCUUCGACAAGCUGUUGUGAGGAGUAACAAUGGAGCACAUCACACAAACGCUGACUUUCCUGCAAGUGCGUCUGAGAUCUUGGCUCGGCGGACACGGGCUCGCGAGGCUGCGAGAGGCUCGGGGAGUUGGGGCGGCCCCGGGCGGCCCCGGCCUCCUCGGCUCGGCCUGGCGGGGGCGCUCUCGCGCAGGCGAGGCGAGGAGAGUGCGACGCGGAGCGCUGAAUCCUUUACUGCCGGUGGACACAGCCUGCCCGAGCGGCUUGAAAGCACUGCCACGCGCCCAGCGCCUGCCAGGCCAUCCCCAGGGACGGUGUCUGUCGGCUGGACCGCUGGUUGCGGACGGGUGAUCCAGCUCCAAAGUUCUGCUUUAGAGCCUGACUCCUGGGACCAUUUUCAGUACUGACUGCCUUGGUUGGGUCGCUGGACUCCGCGGUGGUUUGCCUGUGCGGGAGAGUUGUUGGGAUGGCCUUGUGAGGACGCCUUGUAGUCCAAUGUGGACGCCGCUAGAGCUGUUUGCACAGAGAGCUGGGUCUGCGGGGGAUGAGGUGCUGGGAUUUGCGUGCAAUCAGCUGAAGCUGGGCGAGAGGCGCAGACUUCGACACCCUCCUACCCACUAAUCGUUGAACGUGGGCAGCGCGAGCAGCAACACCCAGCAGCUGCGGCCCUGGUGCUGGAGCCGGGGUCUGGAUCGUGCUCCGAAGCAGUCUCCACGGGACCGUUCCAUUUCCUAAAAUCAGGUACGAAUCCAACAGGUUCUGCAACAUAAUCUCAAACGCUGAAGCAAGUGACCAAGGUGUGUUCUUUCUUGUUAUUCAAAAUUCUCAUUCAUGACCUGUUGACCCACAGCCUGUGACCAAGCACAUUGACAAGGAGAGAAGAUUUCAACAUGCCUAGCGGGCAUCUUUUCUUGGGCAAGUAGCAUAGAUAAAGUUGCAUAUCUAACAUACAGCAAGAUUUGAACAUCGUCUUAGAGAAUUAUUUUUUUGUUUCCGAGUUUUUUGAUAAAUGACACAUACCUAUUUGUAGGUCUUAAAGAUGCAUUAGUAUUAUACCACAAACACCAUACCAUGGUCUAAUUACUUUGUUCCUUAAAGGAAUCCUACUUCUUACAAAAGCAUGGACUCGUGUCAGCACUAAUUACCGGCCCGUGCUUAAUGAAAAAAAGCUUUCAAGGAUGAUGAAAAAAUAAACAUGUUGCUACAUGGGAUUAUAAUUUAUAGUCUUUUAAAAACAGACUCCUGUAAUAGCUCCUGUAACUCUCCCCAACCCAAGCACCACCCCAAAGUCUCCACAGUGGGUUGCAUCCCCAACUCUUUUUAUUUUGAGAUAACUCUCACUAAGGUGCCCAGGUAGGCUCAACCUUUCAAUCCUCCUGCCUCAGCCUCCCAGAGCACUGGGCGACAGGUUAUGUGCCACCACACUUGGCUUUCUUUGUCUUUUCUUAGGCUGUGUUGCAUUUCAUGAGUGAGUAGCAAAGUUUGUUACAGGAGAUAGAAUCAGAGCAGGAGCCACAAGAGCCUUGCCAGUAGCUCAGUGGCACCAACAGUCUUGGCCUAAUGCCUUUACAUCCAUUGUUUUUCUUUCACAACCUGUGUUGGCAUAAUAGGGAAACUGAGGCUUUGUCCAAAAGUCGGGAGCAGAGAAGAGGGGAGGACUUUCAAAUCUUUGGAAUUAUACCCAUGGCCAAAAUUUUAUAGUAUCUGGACUCCUGCCUUGUGCUUGGUUUAAGAAAAGGUAAACAAUCCUAAAAUAGCUAAGAGAGAAGGUUGAAUGUUUCCAAAAUAAAGGCACGAUAAGCAAUUAAGGUGAUGGAUAGGUUAACUGCUCUAAUUCAAUCAUUCCACAUUUUAUAAGUCUCACAAUAUCAUAUUGUGAUACAUCGAUAAAAUUAUAUGCAUCAAUUAAAAAUGAAACAUACUCAAGAAGAAUUUAUUAUUCAAAAAAAGGAAAAAGGUAACCAACUUGAUUCUUGCUGUUUUUAUUGGCUUAAAAAGUAAUGCAGAAAAUGUGGUUUAACUCAACCGUAACUUGAGGUUUGCUGGCCUUGAAUUAGAGGCAUCUUUUCUGUAAUUAUUUCCGGCAACAAAGCACUACAUAAAUAUUCUCUCUGAAAGGAUCCCUGUUUUAUGUGGUUGUUUUAAAAAUGUUAACAAUGAUCAGUAUAACACCAUGCAGAAGGCAAGGAGAGGGUAAAGGGGACUAACUAGUGUUUUAACUGGUGUCCUGCAGGUUGUGCCAACAAUUUAAAGCUCAGCAGCUUUAGUUCAUUUUGUGUUUUGUUUUGUUUUGUUUCUAGUUGAUGUUGAAGUAUCUCUCUACUCAGUGCAUAGCAUGAUUCAGAUUGUAACAGAGAUCACUUGGGUUAAAAUAUGAACUGUCCAAAGGUCACAGCAAAGUGAUAGCAAAAGAGGUCUGAGCAAUUCUGAUUCCUAUUUCUGUUAGAAGCUACAGUGCAUUUCUCUUCAGGAACAUAAAUGAUGACGUGCCGCCACCCAUGUGGCUCAAGGUUUUUGGGGUGAAAGACCACAAGAGGAUGAGAAAGAAGGGACAAAGCUAGAGUCAGGUGGCGGGAGCCCUUACCCUCCUGAUGGGAGGAAAGGAACUAACUGGCCCCUCAUUGCAGGGGCCUUUAUUUAUACCAUUUAGCAACUUAAUGUAACACACAGGACACCCUGUUGUCCUGGCAAUCCACUGUUUGGAUUGUCUUGGGGCCAGGUGCUCUUUCUUCUUGGGACAGCCAUGCCCCAGCCUUGCACAUGUGGUCAAUUUCCAGCUUCGGCAGCUCUCAACAAUGACAGAGGAGGCAAGAGGGGGAAAGAUGAGAGCAAGACGCAGAGCUCCUCGUAUGCUACUCCAGGGACUUAGUUGUGAGCUGCCUUCCAGUUGAAGUAUUUCCUACUACUCGAGAAAAGAAAAUGUAAUUUCUAAAGGUUGGGGUCAAGCCUUUGUUGGUCUUGUACAGUAAUGAAUAAAUGAGUCUAUCUGAUAAAUCCAUCUUCUCUCCUGCUUCGCUGUUGCGUUCUUCUUGAAGCCCGUGGUCCUACAAGGUCCUGACCAGGCCCUGCCAUGCCUGCAAGGCCUUCGCUCCUCUUUCAUUCCACGCAGACCUCUUCCUGGAUGGUGCUUGGCACGGGGUGGGGCAGGGAAAGAAGUUUUUACCAAGCAGGCUGAUCAUACUCCAAAAAGACAUUAACAUGUCAAAUCAAUAAUGCUCACAAAAAGGAAAGGUCAUUAUAUUUUAUUAAAAAUACAGAUAUGUGGGAGCCAGGUGCCUGCAGCCUAGUCGAUGCCCAUUCACUGAAAUGGCUCUGAUGAUUUUUGAACAUCUUAACACAUUCACAACCAGGCUGUAACUUGUGUGUCUUCCUUCUGGGCAGCUUGAGCCACCGAUGGCAUGACUGUCCCAUCGGGUGGUUCUCUAUAUUAAUUUUGUUAGUAAAAAGACUGAUAAAAGUGAGUAGAUCUCUUUGUACCACUAGUGGGACAAACACCCCAUGAUUUUGAAGUCAACUGGUAUGAGUUAAUCCAAAUGUUCUUUGGAAGAGAUGAAUUUCUUUCAAGCUGCUGGCUAUACAAGGGUAAUUACAUUAUAUAUUUUAAAAACUUUUUAAGUUUUUGUUUGUAAAAGUUUGCUGAUGUGUUUUGAAAUUUUUUUUGUAGUUUUCUUCUUUUUCUUUUUAUCCUUGAAAUAAAAUGGAUUUGAAAAAUAAAAAUGUAAAUUUAAAAAAUAAGUGAAAUUUUAUUUUUCUCCUCUUUUCCACUUUUUUUGAAAAUAUGUUGGUAUAGUUUUAGGGAGCACUUUUCAGAAUGCUUAGCAGUUUUGGCAACUGCCACACCUAGCUUGCCCCUUGCUAGGCGGCUGAGGGCAGGGGAAGCAGGGGCUGGUGAGUACAGCCCUGUCUGAACUCACGCAGCGGCUCCACCUCAGCUUUUGACUUAAGUCUGUGCCACCAUCUAGAUUGCAUUGCACAUCCCCAUCUGAGCUAAAUCCCAGUAAAAACAAAAUUGUAGGGACAACAGUUAUGAACAUACCUCUCCAGAAGAGUAGCUGGUCAGAUGGACGCUGAGUCUUCUUGGACUUUAUUUGGAACUGACCAUGGAAAGUGACCAUGGACAGCUGAACAGAGAAAUGUGAGCCAGGAAAAGAGGAGAGCCAGGUGUGAGCAUGUCUUUUGCCUCCUCAGGGGCCGUACAUGUACUGUAGCCUGUUCCCUAGUGCUGUCUGCAGCUUGACCAGCUUGGGGAUCUGGGAACAGAGGCAGCUGGGCAGUUAUGGUUGGAGUUUGGAGAGAUGUAAGACUUCUGGUUAGUUUCUUAUUUACUUUAUGCUGAUUACUCUUGGAUACACGGUGCUGAGUCAGAAGCCUAAAUAAUACUAUGUGUGAUGGGUUUCCCAGAGAUGGAUUCCAGAUUGUUCUGUAUGAUGAGCAAAACAUUUCAAGUGUGCAUUUGAUAGUAGAAGAAAAAGCAGCUACAUUUCUUGACAUGAUCUGGGGAGGUAUGCUCAGUGGAAACAAAGAGAUGGCCCUCAUAGAAAAGAAAUGGUGCAGAGGCAGCAGGAAAACGGAAAAAAAAAAAAGAUAAAUCAGGCUUUUGAUUGAACAUAUGUGCAUCUAGCCUAUGACAUCUCUCAUGGGAUCUCUCUGCAUGUGGCUGAUUAAGUGAUUGACAAGGUUCUGAGUCAUCUCAAGGGAUCUAGUAGGCAUGACUUUCCCAUAAUUCAUUCUGCUACAGUCAGAUGCUUGACAUGUUCUCCCUAUGAACCGGCCACUAAAGAAGCUUAGUGAGAAAGGUUACUGUAGGUCACACCACUGAAUGUAACAUUCAUGUGUUCUGGCCUGGAGCUUUAGAGAUUUCUUGGGACUUUGUUAUGCCUAGUGCUGCUUCUCUGGAAGCAGGAUUGGCUCUAGGGUGUUGUCCAAGUUUGGAUGGACAGAGAGGAAGUGGUUUACCUACCCCAAUAGUACCCACUGCACUAUAAAUAGAGGUAAAUUUUUUUUUUAAUCUUUUUGAGAUCAAGUCUCACUAUGUAGUUCAGGGUGGACUUGAGCUCACUUUGUAGCCCAGGCUGGUCUCAAAUUUGGAACAAUUUUCCUGUCUAGUUUCCCAAGUGCUGGGAUUACAGGCAUAUGCCACCAAAGCUAGCAUAAAGAUAAAUUUUUAAAAUAUAAAAAUAAAAAUAAAUAAAGGUAACUACAUACACAAUUCUUUGCUCUAUUAGGUUUCUGAGAGGCAAACAGUGGGAUAAAUUGGAGUUCUUGGACCUUCUCCUGUACCCAGCUGUGGAUAUUUUGAAAUAUGCAUGAAUUUUUGAUCUCUUUUUUUUCCACUUUCUGUUUCAUCCGCUAUGACUGUAUCAUGUUCUGUGUCUUGAAUAAGGUGCAAGUUAGAGAUGUGAUGUUACUUUGAAUUCUGUGUAUUUUUAAUUUCCAAACCCUGCAGACCUAGGACAGAAUAAAGGUUGAUGGAGUAAGCUUAGAGAAGCAGAAAAAAAGAGAAAACAUCUCUGAUUUUUUUUUUUUAAACAGGGUCUCAGGCUGAUCUCUGUGUAUCCUAGACUGGCCUGGAAUUCCCUGUGAUCCCUCUGCCACACCCCCUAGAGGCAAGGAUUUACAAGAGUGUGCCAGCACACUCACUAGCAUUCUCCAAUCUAUGAGGCCCCAAACUCACCAGGGCAACAGAGCCCUGGCUGCUGGGCCUGCUAUACUACCCUAGCCUCAAAGAGGUGACCACAUAACUGGUCAUGUCUGCGGCUCCUGCCUCACCAAAGGCUCCCCUGCUCCCCGUGAGGCAGGAGUCACCUGAGUGUCAGGUGGAAGUCUCAAGAAUAACCAGCUCUCCCCGUGAGGCAGGAGUCACCUGAGUGUCAGGUGGAAGUCUCAAGAAUAACCAGCUCUCACCCUGGGGAAAACAGGGAAUGACAGUAAGCAGUGGGAGCAGGUACUGGGUAUGGUUUAGUAGAAAAAACAGUAACAACAACAACAAAAAGUUCUUGCUGGAGAGGGGGCAAAAAGGAAGCUGCUCUUACGGUUGAUACACUGUGUCAACUUGAGAAGUUUAACUAAGAGACCCAGCAGGGAGCCAGGAUGCUUACUUUGUAAAUAUCCUCAUCCUGUGCACAAAGAGGGCACAGAGAUUUUGUGAGUUCCUCACCCAUCCUGGAGAGGGGGAUGUCCUGUGUACAAUAUAAAGGAGGCUGGCUCUUUCCCCCUUUUGCUCUGGCUUCAUUUCUUGGCUGCUGCCUUGAAGUGUUGCCCCUGUGUUAUGCCACCCUGCCUUGGAGCCAGCUGAUUAAGAACUGAAACCUCCACAAACAGUGAGCUAAAUGAACCUUUCCUUCCUUCUUCUGGGUCCCAGUUAUUUUGUCUCAGCCAUGAGAGAAAAGUAACUAAGACACCAAGGAAGCACCUGAGUCUAGAAGCCUAUAUCCAGCUUGUUGGCACAUGCUUGCAAGAGCAGAUGAAGGGGCUGAAGGUGGGUGUAAGUGCAGGUUUGUUGCUGCCUCCAGGCAGUGGAUUUUAUCAGUCCUUUGUCUCCCACUCUACAGUUUCCCUCAAGGGUUACCUCAUCUUGCCUUUAGUUUACUGAGGAACUUUGUGCCAUUAUCUCCUGGUCCCAAGAGACCAUGGCAGGCUUGGCCUUUGAGGAGAAAGGGCUGAAGAUGGCCAGAGUAGACCUGCUGACUGUGAUCUAAUAGCGGCAAAAUCCUGGCAGGGACGAACCCCUUCACAUUGGAGAGCAAUUUCCUACCAUUCCAGUAGAUUAAGGGUGCAGACAGACAGGGGAAGACUUCAAGGUCAUCAGCGAAGCCUGUGCAGGUGAGGAUGAGGCUGGAGGUGGAGACGGUCUGGGAUUCAGUGAGAGGGAGUCCCCUUGCAGGAGGAUGAUGGUCGGUAGAGCUGAAGGGGUCCCAGUGAAAGGGUUAACUCCCUAACUCCCCAGAGCUAUCAGAGCAGAGCAGAAAGAAAUGCCUAACUCCCCAGAGCUAUCAGAACCGAGCAAAAAAAGAAUGCACCUGCAAGGUUGUUCUGUCUCAACGAGAUAAGUAAGACAAGUAACUGUUCUGUUCUGGGCACAUAGUGACUGGGCUAGGACCCCGUCUCCAUGGUUACUCAACCCCAAACCCCUCCAAUCAACUUCUGCCAAGUCCUAUCCUGCUCAAAAUUAACCAAUGCAAUCUGCUUCUGUAAACUCGCUUGCCUCCCGUUUGUGCCCUUAAAAACCCUGCACAAUUCCCCCUCGGGGCCCUCCGCACUUGUUUGCCUGGGGGACCCCAUGCGCAUGGAAAUAAACUUUUUACUCCUCACUACGAGCUGAGUCCUUGGGGUCUUCUUCCCUGCGACGCCGGUCCUUACAUUUGGAGGCCCCAGCGAGAUCAAACUGAGAUCAGACCUCCUCGCAGAGGGAGACCCCAACGGCACCUCUCUGGGGUAAGUAGUACGGCCGGUUUUUGUUUACUUUCAUUUUGGAUCGAUCCGCCGUUUCCUUUCGUCCCAGGCCGAACUCCGGCUCUACUUCAGGGGCAAAUUCUGUUCUUGGGUGAUCGGGGGACGCCCCACACGGUUUUCCGUGACUCACCGUCUGCGAUAGGAUUUUCCUAUCGGUCUGGGGAAUUUCAUUCCCAAUCUGUGGUCUGUCUGGGCCAAUCUGGGGAAUUUCAUUCCCAAUCUGUGGUCCGACCGGGUCAAUCUGGAGGCACCCCCUAAGGUGACUUGUCUGAUGUGAAACUAAUGCGUGAGAGUGAGGUGGCCGGCCUGUUUGUCCUGUGUGUUGUGACUGUUGUGAUUGGUUAUUUGUUGUGUCGCACGUACGCUAACCACUCUUUGUCUUCAGAACACCAUGGGACAAACGACAUCGUCCCCAUUGUCCCUCACCCUCGACCAUUGGUCGGAGGUUCGAGAGAGGGCUCACAAUCUCUCCUUACAGGUUAAAAAAGUAAAUGACAGACUUUCUGCUCAUCUGAGUGGCCCACAUUCUCCGUGGGUUGGCCACCGGAGGGGACUUUCCACCUUCCCCUCAUCUUAGCAGUUAAGAACAUCAUCUUCCGCCCCGGACGAGAGGACCACCCCGACCAGGUCGCCUACAUCUUGAUAUGGCAGGACCUCAGGAAAAGCCCCCACUGUGGGUAAAACCCUUCCUUCCUCCGCCCUCUCCUUGGUUGCCUGUUUAAACUUGUUACUAACUUAGGGGCUUGUUGCCCAUUUCUGUUGCAGGAUCCAUAUGGCUUAUUAGAUUCAAGGUUCAUGAUAAAAAAAAUUAUUUCCUUUAGCUGACCAAACUAUGCAAGAAGCUCCCUUUGUUUGUGUCUUUAAUGUUGUGACACCUUGUUUAAUAUGUAAGACUUCAAUUGAUUGCUUGCAACCUCAGCAUGCCUUUUAAAAGGAGUAUUUUUUCUCUCUGGUGAAAAUGUAAACAUGUGCACAUAUAUAUGUAUAUCUAUGGUUAUUAAAAAUCAUAUCAACUUUACCAAGUAAAACCAGGUCAUACUGUAAUUGAGCCAGUAAAAAGGUUAUAGUUUAAAAAAAACAGCAUUUUAAUGUGGUAAAAAGACAUAAAAUAAUUAAAUAUGAUUUAGACUACUAGAAGGUGACUUCAAGGGUUCUGUUGUGAGUUUUAAUGUUGUCUGAGAAGUGAGAAAAAAGGUAAUUGACUGGUAAUAGUAAAAAGAGGGACAAAGAGAGUGGUCUUCAAGUAAAGGUGUCUGGCUAUGCCAGAAUGUAAAAAAAAGAUUAAAGCUUAGUUUGAGAGGUAUUAUUGUAAGUUGUAAAAGGCUCAAGAGGAUGUAAAUUUUAUUUAUCUUGGUUUAUAGUACUACAAAUAACAGGUUUGACAAAAAGUAAAUCUGUUCAGAAUUUGACAGUAUUAGAUCAGUUUUGGUAAAAGUAUUCAUAAGAUUGUACUUUGCUGCAAAAUGUUUCCAUUAAAAUGAGAUUAUAGGUGAUACUAAAAAUAAGAUACAAGUUCUUACAUGUACUGUGAACAUCUGGGAGAUUAUGCAGUACAAUUUUGUUACCUAUAAAAAAGCCCUUUUUGUUAAGAAUAUAAUUUUAGUAAAAUGAUGGCCUGCCACGUGACACCCUUGGACAAAAAACAGUGUGCCAUCCAGAUGAAGCUGGCUCUCUGAUCCGGAAUGCCAAAACCAUGUUCUCCUUUUGUGCCACCCUGACUGGACAUCCAGAGGUAAGGAGGUUUCCCAGUAUCGCCAGUUGUUCUCUUUGUAACUCAGUUGGCCCCACAUGUUAGACAAAAAUUACAAAGGUUUGAGAGGUUUAAGAAAAUGCCCCUCAGCCAGUUAAUAGAGAUAGCACAAAAAGGUCUUUGAGAACUAAAAAAUUUACAAAAAGAUAGCCAAGAUGUUAAAAUUGCUCUAUGAGAAAAAACUUUUAAAAAACAGACGAGAGUUUCUGGGGGCAAUUGGAUACUGUAGGCUAAAUUUUACUGAAAAGCUUGCCUCUAUAUGACUCCCAUAAGGGAGAAACUCAAAAUUCGCUGAACUGGACUGAUAAAUGUAAACAGGCCUUCCAACAGCUCAAGCGGGCCUUGACAGAGGCCCCAGCCCUGGGACUCCCUGACGUUACCAAGCCUUUCAUCUUGUUCAUAGAUAAACUCAGGGACAUUGCCAAAGGAGUCCUAACUCAGGACAUUGGCCCUUAAAAGAGGCCUAUAGCCUACCUCUCCAAAAGACUUAAUCCAGUAACAGGGUAUGGCCCCCUGCCUUAAAAUACUAGCUACUGUGACAAUGUUACUUAAGGAAGCGAAGAAACACGCUUUGGGCAAGUGAUUUCUGUGGUAACCUCUCACAGUUUAGAGACUCUUAUCAAAACCCCUCCUAAAAAAAGGCUCUCCAAUGCCAGAAUUCUACUGUCAAGUCCUGCUUCUAGACCCAGAGUCAAUGAUAUUCAAGACUUCUUCAGCUUUAAACCCAGUCACCCUUAUGCCUGAUGAUGACCUGGAGAAACAAAGGACACCUCUCCAUGAGUGUGCUGACAUCCUCAAACUGCAGCGGAACCUACAGGCUGAUCUUACUGACCAGCUUUUGGAAAAUGCCGACAACUGUUCGAUGGAAGCAGCUUCAUCCAGAACAGCAGAGACAGAUGAGUGGCCGGGACAGCAGUGACCACCAAAAAAGAGGUACUCUGGGUUAAAGGGUUAGAGCCUGGCUCCUCUGCCCAAAAGGCGGAGCUCAUUGCUUUGACUGAUAUACUAAAACUAGCCACGAAAAAGAGGGUAAACAUCUAUACUGAUAGUAGAUAUGCUUUUGCUACUAUACAUAUACAUAGAGCCAUCUAUUAAGAGCGAGGUCUCUUAACCUCGGCCAGAGCUAAGAUUAAAAAAAAAAAAAAAAAAAAGAGGGCUCCACAAAUCCUAAAUUUGCUGGCAGCAGUCUGGCUGUCAGCAGAUUGCUGCUAUUCACCUGAGGAAGCAAUUUGGCAGAUCAGGCCGCUGAAAGAGUAACAAUCACAUCAGAGAGGCCAGCCGAAAAAGUAACUGCUCUGAUGCGAGUCCCCCCGACCUUAUCAGAACCAGUCUACACACAAAAAAAAGACUACACUGGUUGUUGUGAGCCAUCUAACGGAUUCCAGUCCCUGUGACUAAAAGACAAGUACAGAAUUUCUAGGAGCCACAGGACUGAUCCAGAGUUUGGGACCCUGGCAGAGGCCUGUUGCCUACCUUUCCAAGAGACUUGGUUCUGUGGCAGCCAGAUGGCCACCCUGUCUGCGGUGAUUUCAUCAAUGGCCCCCUCAUAAAGGAGGCUUAAAAAUUGACUUUUGGACACAAACUCUUAAUUGUUUUCUCCUAUUCACUGAAGACUCUCAUCAAGGUCCCACCAGACUGAUGGAUGUCUAAUUCCUGAGCCAUACAUUAUCAGGCACUAUUUCUAAAAACAGCAGCUUCAAACUCGGCUACUUUGCUGCCUGAGGAUGACCCCUCGUUGCCUCAUUGAUCACCUCACGGAACAUCGACCUUAUCUAGUUGAUAAGCUACUGUCUAGAGUUCCAUCCUACUUCUCUGAUAAAAACAGUUAUGUCUCUCAAGAGCCCAUUUACACUUAAAAAGACCAGCAUCUGGCAGCUCAACUUCCAAGAGAUUCCGGGGGCUAAUAUCAAGCUAGCCCAGUCUGUGAGCUUCAGAUGCCCUCAGUGCCAAUUGGUAAAUCUAAAAGUACUGCAACAAAUAAAAACCACUGGUUAUCGUGGGACUAUGCCUAAAAA